GAUGUUGUAGUACAGGUAGAUCAUUCAGACAGAGAUGUUGUAGUACUGGCAGAUCAUUCUUACAGAGUUGUUGUAGUACAGGUAGAUCAUUCAGACAGAGAUGUUGUAGUACAGGUAGAUCAUUCAGACAGAGAUGUUGUAGUACAGGUAGAUCAUUCUUACAGAGAUGUUGGAGUACAGGCAGAUCAUUCUUACAGAGUUGUUGUAGUACAGGUAGAUCAUUCAGACAGAGAUGUUGUAGUACAGGUAGAUCAUUCAGACAGAGAUGUUGUAGUGCAGGUAGAUCAUUCUUACAGAGAUGUUGUAGUACAGGCAGAUCAUUCAGACAGAGAUGUUGUAGUACAGGUAGAUCAUUCAGACAGAGAUGUUGGAGUACAGGCAGAUCAUUCUUACAGAGAUGUUGUAGUACAGGCAGAUCAUUCUUACAGAGAUGUUGUAGUACAGGUAGAUCAUUCAGACAGAGAUGUUGUAGUACAGGCAGAUCAUUCUUA